UUCCUUGUCUGGGUCCUUUAUUGACCCUUUCCCUCUAAUAUAAACACGGCACCCCGUCGUAGCUUCCACCCGUUUCAGCGAAUUGCCUCUAGGGCCUAAAAGUCGCCCAACAAAAUUGAAAUUUGGAUAAGUAUCUACUGGAAUUUCCAGGCGCAAAAUUCUUUUCACAGUGUAUGAACUAGGGCUUGCAGGUGCACCUUGCCAGUCCAUUGUCAUUCCAGGGAGCCCACUCAAUCUCUCGUGUGGAAGACCAUUCCAGCUGCCUAAACCUGUUCCAGCAACACUGGAAAUAAGGUUUGAUGAAGCCAUAGGACUGGGGCUUCUAUGCCGCAGUCUGUCAAAAUCGCCAAAUCCUUGGUUGGACAUCAUUCCCGAAACCCGAAAAAUUUCUUGAUUUAACAGUCGGCUACAUAUCGGGAGAACCUGUAUGAAUGGUCCAAGCUUCUGAUGCUCUGCCAACAACUCUGACAAGUACUGACUGUCAACAUCUGGAGUGCUUCUAAUCUGAGGAGAAGCAGCUCUUGCAGGUGAGAAGUUGGGAUUAUACAAACCUGACAUGGCUCUCUUUUCUUGAAGAUUUUUUUCCUUUUUUCCCUUUCUUUCUUCCUUGAACAAACAAAAGAAUGAAAUGAAAAAAAGAGAGAAAAAUCAACAAGGCAUAGCUUCUCCUCUCUCUGUGUACUAAUACAAUCCCUUUUCAUUUCCCUCCACAGAUCUCCAAAUUCCCACUCACCAAACCCUAAAUUUCUCUCUCUACAACUGUCUGUUCAUUUCUGUGUUUAUCUAUUAUGACUAUUAUGACUCUUUGAUCCAAUUUCAUCCGAUGAUUCUAGAGUCUUCAUGAAUAUCUGCAACUUCAUGGAGUCUUCAUGAAUAUCUGCAACUUCAUGGACCCAAGGUACCACCACCGUCACCACCGUCGACAUCCAUCGUACGAUGCCUGACCUACGGAGCCGAGCACGAAGAAAUCGGGAACCCGUGAAACCUACUCCGAAUCAGAAUCCGAUUAAGCUCACUGUACAGACUCGUCGGAGAAAAACUGCUGAGAACAAGGGAAAAAAUAACGCGAUCGCUGUUGAAGAUAAGAAUAAUAUUGUGAACCUUGAAACGACACCGUUAGAGGCGCAUCCUAGGGCUUUUAGAGAGGAGGUUGCAGAGAAGACAAUGGAUGAGUACGAUAGCGGCGGCCGCAGCGGUGACAAAGGUCCCGGGGCUGAGGACGAAGGAAGCACGGCUCCGCUUCCUGAGAAGGUUCAAGUUGGAGGCUCCCCAGCCUACAGAAUAGAAAGAAAACUGGGUAAAGGAGGUUUCGGACAAGUAUAUGUUGGUCGACGCAUUAGUCCCUCUGCUUCAAAUGAAAGAAGUGGCCCUGGAGCUGUUGAGGUAGCUCUGAAAUUUGAACAUAGAAGUAGCAAAGGAUGCAAUUAUGGACCACCCUACGAGUGGCAAGUUUACAAUGCUCUUGGAGGUAGUCAUGGUGUCCCGCGAGUUCAUUACAAAGGCCGGCAAGGUGACUACUAUGUCAUGGUUAUGGAUAUGCUUGGACCUAGUUUAUGGGAUGUUUGGAAUAACAAUUCACACACGAUGUCCAUUGAAAUGGUUGCAUGCAUUGCCAUUGAAUCAAUCUCUAUACUAGAGAAGAUGCAUUCUAGAGGAUAUGUGCAUGGGGAUGUAAAACCAGAGAACUUUUUGCUUGGUCCUCCAGGAACCCCUGAGGAAAAAAAGCUUUUUCUUAUUGACCUUGGACUAGCAACCAGGUGGCGAGACAGUUCAACUGGCCUGCAUGUUGAAUAUGAUCAACGUCCUGAUGUUUUUAGGGGAACAGUGCGGUAUGCUAGUGUUCAUGCUCAUCUUGGUAGAACUGGUAGUAGGAGAGAUGACUUAGAGUCUCUUGCUUACACACUCAUUUUUCUUCUCCGUGGUCGGUUACCUUGGCAGGGAUAUCAGGGGGAAAAUAAAGGGUUCCUAGUUUGCAAGAAGAAGAUGGCAACGUCCCCAGAAACUUUGUGUUGUUUCUGCCCUCAGCCUUUUCGUCAGUUUGUUGAGUACGUGGUAAAUCUGAAAUUUGACGAGGAACCCAAUUACGCUAAAUAUAUCUCCCUUUUUGAUGGGAUUGUUGGUCCAAAUCCAGAUAUUAGGCCAAUAAACACUGAUGGUGCCCAGAAGCUUAUUUAUCAGGUUGGACAUAAGCGAGGACGAUUGACAAUGGAAGAGGAAGAAGAUGAACAACCAAAGAAGAAGGUACGGAUGGGAAUGCCUGCAACACAAUGGAUCAGUGUUUACAAUGCUCGUCGUCCAAUGAAGCAGAGAUAUCACUAUAAUGUAGCUGAUAUGAGGCUUUCACAACAUAUAGAGAAAGGAAAUGAGGAUGGGUUAUUUAUCAGCAGUGUGGCUUCUUGCUCAAACUUAUGGGCUUUGAUUAUGGAUGCUGGCACUGGCUUCACUGCUCAAGUUUAUGAGCUUUCCCCUUACUUCCUCCACAAGGAAUGGAUUAUGGAACAGUGGGAGAAGAAUUACUACAUCAGUGCAAUAGCAGGAGCUAAUAAUGGAAGUUCAUUAGUUGUGAUGUCUAAGGGGACCCAGUAUUUACAGCAGUCCUAUAAAGUCAGUGAUUCAUUCCCUUUCAAGUGGAUUAAUAAGAAAUGGAGAGAGGGUUUUUAUGUCACUUCCAUGGCCACUGCUGGAAGUAGAUGGGCAAUUGUUAUGUCUCGUGGGGCUGGAUUUUCUGAUCAGGUUGUGGAGCUAGAUUUUCUAUAUCCUAGUGAAGGAAUUCAUAGGAGGUGGGAUAGCGGUUACCGCAUUACUUCAACUGCCGCAACUUGGGACCAGGCUGCUUUUGUUCUCAGUGUGCCCCGAAGAAAACCAGCAGAUGAAACUCAAGAGACACUUCGAACUUCUGCUUUUCCUAGUACACAUGUCAAGGAGAAAUGGGCAAAGAAUCUUUAUAUUGCAUCUGUAUGCUAUGGUCGAACUGUCUCAUGAACAACUGAAGCUAUGUUGGGAUGCCAUUGAUGUUAUAAUGAUUUUGCCCCUUCAUACUACCUAGAAGACAGUUCUCACUAUCAAUGACCUUUAUUUGAGAAGCAAGCAUCCACUUAAGCCAAAAUGAUGCAUCACAGCAUUUGGGAGUCUAUGUAUGCAAAAAUUCUUCUUUAUCGUCGCCAACACUUAGCACCUAUUACAAAUACCUAUGCACUGUUUUUCAAUUGCUUUGAAAUGUUUAUGAGCCAAUGUUAGAUCUCAUGCCCGUUAGGAUGGGUCGAUUUACCCAUUGCAAAAAGAAGAAAAAAAAAAUUGUAUAGUUGUGAACAUUGGUUGCUUGCUUCAAGGUGCGUGCACAGGUCCUGUUUUCAUUAUUAACAGUAUAAUGAUUUUGGGCUCUAGGCAUUCUCAGUCAGCGAGUCUGUACUUAUUCCUUCUUGUUUUUGGACUUAAGGAUCCUCUGAUCUUUCACUCAAGAACUCAUGGGAUGUCUGAAUUUGACCUAAAGACUGAAGAUGUACUUAUUUUGUAUACUUCAGAGUAACACUUUGUAAUUUUUUUUUAUUAUAUUAAUAUUUUAUGCUAUAACCUUAUAUUAUUUGUGCCUUCGAACACCCAAUUGUGCACGUGUUAUGUGAUGUGUCCCUCAAUGCAGUUAUUUUGAGCAGUAAAGUGCACCCUACCUUGCUUUGGUUACCCUUUUUUUUAAUAUUUUGUAUUUGUUUCCUCCUAUUGAAGAUACUUGUUUACUUGCUAAUAUGACCAGAUUGGUCUUUAUAGUUCUGGUUUUGCAACUGAAUGCAAAGCCAAAAUCUAUUCGAUCUUUUCCAAAAUUAGUUUCUGUUGUGAGAGAACCUCUUGGUAGUUGGGAUUUUGUAUUUAAGUUAUUAAUUGACGGUAUAGUUUGGAAGCUUUAGAAGGAAUAUAUGACUCUUUACUGGUGACAUGGUUGAAUUUUAUCUUUUGAGAUUUUAAUUGUCCUUUUGUUUUAAUAUGAGUAGUUUUUCUACUUUCUUUGUAUAUGGCAUGGUAAUACGAGCACAGAAGUUGCUGUGUGGUAUAGGAUCGCAGGUUAAAUUGUUAAUAUUUUGUGGUCAAGAUAUUCAAGGUGGAAAUAUUGUCGGCAAGACCUCCUUGCUCUAAGAAUUUGUGAUACUGAGUAACCAACCUAUCUUUUACUUGCAACCACUUCACAUUCAUUUGGCUCAAAAGCAUCUGGCCUGGAUUUCUUGGGCAUUUGACUGGUGAAUAUUUACACACUGAAUGGGAAGAAGUGACAAAUUCAGGUCACUUUUGGGUCUGAUAUGGAAUCUAAUUGCACUCUGGAUUUACAUGUUGAAAUUGCUGCUUAGUUUAGUGAUUCAAUCUUCAUGCUGAUGGUAUUAGUCUUUUAUCUUUUUCCUUUAUCUGCUAUUUAUGAGAAGGCAACCAUUUUUAUGUAAUUGUUUUCAACAAUUUCCAAUUUUGCUUGUAAAGACAAUCUUGAUGAUAUUUCUGUGACUGAAAAUGCUAGAUUUCCAAGCAGUCCUUUGUUACUAUCAAUCAUGUCUGUGAAAAGCCUUGGAAAAAUUAAAGGGAGAAAUCGAUAAAAAAGACAAUUUAUCCUUUUGCAUUCCAACUAAUUAGUUGUGGUUGACAGCUUUUUUUCUGUAUCUAUCAUGCAACAUGUUGACCAUGUUCAAUGCUUGUUAAGCUAUUCUGCUGUAUUCAAGAGGGG
rnacentral:misc_RNA from 1 species